AGAGGUCAUGCAAAAGCAUAUUAAGUUUUCUAUACCAUGUAUCGAUUAUCUUAUAUAACACAGGAGUCGACAGAGGGAGCUACAGUGAAAAUGCAUCCAGCUCCGACCCUUGAAAAGGUUUUUACUCAGACAGAUUAAAAGUUCUAUCUUUGUCAGGAUGAAAGCAAGCUGCCAUUAAGAAAUAAAGCGAACAGAUCAGCUUUACUAUGCAGUUGUUUGAUGAGAGUGAGACAAUCUCCAAUCUACGUUUGACAGAUUUUGACGAGCAAUCCCAGCCACCAUAAACAUUUGGCUCCGUCAAACAUGCUCAAGAAGAAACGGUUCAGAACUAACGGACAGAAAACGCUUGACAGAGAGGAGAACAAAUCGCUGACAAAGAACGCUUUCCGUUUCGCCAGCGUCGUUAAGACGACAAGGAAGAAUCCCUUAGAUAAUAACUCCCACUUCAAAGACAUCUGCCCUGAAUAGAGAAUGUACCAUCCUUUUUAUUCGGUCACAAGAGUUUUCACUAAAGAGGACUCGACUGUUUGGUUAUUUUUCGCCGUGUUUAUUUUUCGCCAUUCACUGGGUACUUGUAUAAAAUAAACAACAAGACAAUUACUAAAAGACGAAUUCCCAACUUAUCUGCUCACAGGGCCGGGAUCGAAACCGCUGGGCUUCAUCCGCGCAGCCAGGCAAUUUGAUUCAGGCCAUCCCUAAUCCGCCUGAGAAUUCCUUCCAAACCCAAAAUAUUAAAGAUUAUGAUGAAGUGAAGAUUGACUGUACUAACCUAGCAUGAAACCAAAGGUCAACGCAAAUGUAUCUUAAUAGAGUGUCUCGAAUCUAGUGUGCCUCCUUUGAAGGCAGUUUGCUAUUGCCCCGUUCAUUACCAUAGCGAUCCUAGCGUGCCGUGCUGAUGUACCAUAAAACUCCUACUUUGGAAUUCUAAAACCCGGCUCUUUGAACAGCCCGAGUCUGAUUAGAGUC